rnacentral:tRNA from 1 species
AGGGGUAUAGUUCAGCGGUAGAACACGUGCUUGGCAUGCACAGGGUCCCAGGUUCAAUACCCAGUGCUUCCG